GACGAGUGGCGCACGGGUGCGUAACGCGUAUACAAUCUACCUUUUACAGGGGGAUAGCCUUUAGAAAUGAAGAUUAAUACCCCAUGGUAUAAUGAUUUGGCAUCAAAUUAUUAUUAAAGUUUCGGCGGUAAAAGAUGAGUAUGCGUUCUAUUAGCUAGAUGGUGUGGUAACGGCACACCAUGGCAACGAUAGAUAGGGGCCCUGAGAGGGGGAUCCCCCACACUGGUACUGAGACACGGACCAGACUCCUACGGGAGGCAGCAGUGAGGAAUAUUGGACAAUGGGCGCAAGCCUGAUCCAGCCAUGCCGCGGGCAGGAAGACGGCCCUAUGGGUUGUAAACUGCUUUUAUACAGGAAGAAACGCUCCCUCGUGAGGGAGUUUGACGGUACUGUAAGAAUAAGGACCGGCUAACUCCGUGCCAGCAGCCGCGGUAAUACGGAGGGUCCGAGCGUUAUCCGGAAUCAUUGGGCGUAAAGGGUGCGUAGGCGGUU
rnacentral:rRNA from 1 species